AACGCAAGUUGCGCCCGGAGCCUUUUGGCCGAGGGCACGUCUGCCUGGGCGUCACGCAUCGCUGCCCCCCAUGCAACACCCAUCGUGGGCCUAUUGCACUGGUUGGGGCACACGCUGGCCUCCCGUGCGCACCGUCGCGCGGAUGGCUUAAAUUUGAGUCCUUGGCGCAUGUCGUCGUGACACUACGGUGGUUGAACAAACCUCAGUACAGCGUCGCGGCCUCGAUGCCCAUCCUUGGACUCUUGCAAUGACCCUCUGAACGACGUCCCUUAAAGGAUGACGCUCUCGACGCGACCCCAGGUCAGGCGGGACUACCCGCUGAGUUUAA
rnacentral:misc_RNA from 1 species